GCAAGUCGAGCGAGAAAGUCACCUUCGGGUGGCGAGUAAAGCGGCGCACGGGUGAGUAACACAUGAGUAACGUACCCUUGGGUACGGGAUAACCUUCCGAAAGGAUGGCUAAUACCGUAUAAGACCACAACGCCUUAUGGCGAAGAGGUCAAAGCUUUAGUGCCCAAGGAUCGGCUCGCGGUCCAUUAGAUAGUUGGCGGGGUAAUGGCCCACCAAGUCCAAGAUGUAUAGCUGGUCUGAGAGGAUGAUC
rnacentral:rRNA from 1 species